rnacentral:rRNA from 1 species
AUCAAAUGGAGAGUUUGAUCCUGGCUCAGGAUGAACGCUGGCGGCAUGCCUAAUACAUGCAAGUCGA